rnacentral:misc_RNA from 1 species
GAUGAAGAACGUAGCGAAAUGCGAUAAGUAAUGUGAAUUGCAGAAUUCAGUGAAUCAUCGAAUCUUUGAACGCACAUUGCGCCCGCCAGUAUUCUGGCGGGCAUGCCUGUUCGAGCGUCAUUUCAACCAUCAAGCCCCCGGCUUGUGUUGGGGACCUGCGGCUGCCGCAGGCCCUGAAAAGCAGUGGCGGGCUCGCUGUGACACCGAGCGUAGUAGCAUACAUCUCGCUCUGGGCGUGCUGCGGGUUCCGGCCGUUAAACCACCUUCAUAACCCAAGGUUGACCUCGGAUCAGGUAGGAAGACCCGCUGAACUUAAGCAUAUCAAUAAGCGGAGGA